rnacentral:lncRNA from 1 species
UCCUCCAUCUGUAAAACGCAUCACACGUUGUAUCAUUUUCACUCAAUCAAAAAACGCUCGCUUUGCUGUUCAAUCGGAACACUCGCCGUCCAAGCCCUUGGCUGUUCAAUCGAAUCCUCUCAAUCGGUGAGUUCUCUCUCUCUAUCUCUCUGAAUUUUCAAUUGAAACUCUAACCCCUUUGUUGUUAAAAAAAAAAUCGUGAAACCCUAAUCCUUUUCAAACAGUGGAACACGAUUUGAAUAUGAAUUGGGUUUUAUGAGUUUCACGUGUUUGUUGGUUUGUUUGUCAGAUUUGAUGAAAUAAAAAUUUUGUAGCUUAAAUUUUGAACUGGGUGUUCUUAUUGAGGUUCAGUUGUUUGUUAGAUUUGAUGAAGAUACAAUUGUACUUUUUUUUUGCUGCUUGAAUUUUGAAUUGGGUGUUUUUAGGAUUUGUUUAGUUUUAGGUUUCAACCAUAUAAAAUGGUUAGGGAAAAAAGAGUCAACUACUCUGUUUAAUUUUUUUAUCAGUAGCAAUGGAGUUCAAUAUUCUGGGAUUUACAAGUCCACUUGACAUGAAAUUAAGAACAAAAGAAAAAAAAUUAUGCCAUGAAAUUAGGAAUAAGUUUUAGUUCUUUGUACCUUGCUGCAGAUUUGUUACUUAGUUUUAUCAGGACAGAUUUUAAGCCAUUAGUGUAGCUCUAUUAUUGGAAAGUAGUAAUAAGGAAUAGUCUAUAUAAUGUAAAUACAUUGUACAAUUGUCACCAUAUAAUGAUGUUUAAGAUAUUUCCUUUCAACUAACGGUAUAUUUUCCCUAGUAAGUAAUAACAACCAGAGUAGGAGAUGCCUGACAGGACAAGUGACUUGAAAAUGUAACAUAUAUAAUUAAAUUAUUGAAUGAGGAAUUGAGUGUAUUUAAGGUACAUAUGUGAUAUAUUGAGUACUCAGGCUUAAUUUCUCAUGUUUUUUAAGGAUAGAAUAUAAAUAAGCAUUUAAAUAGGUUUUAGAGGAAGACCUAAGAAAACCAUUCGAGAAACCAUUAGAAAAGAUUUAGAGGUCAAUGAGUUGGAUUCAAAUAUGGUUUUUGAUAGAACACUAUGGUGGCAUUUGAUCCAUGUAGCCGACCCCACUUAGUGGGAUAAGGCUUGGUUGUUGUUGUUGUUGUUGUCGUUGUCAGGUAUAACUUCUCAGACAUAACUUCUUCAGGGCACAACUUGAAAUAAAACUAGAAUGCUGGGAUGGUUUAGUUUGAAGCUGUAGCGUUUUAGGACCUUGACACUUGACAUGUUCACUUGUUUAUCAUGUUUGUUUAUCAUAAGAGUGUUAAUUUCUCCUAUUAUAUUUUAAAUAUUUCAAUGUAAUUGUUUUUAUGAUUGAUGAUUUAUUCUGUAACAAAUAUGAUAAAGN